AGCUCCAAUAGCGUAUAUUAAAGUUGUUGCAGUUAAAAAGCUCGUAGUUGGAUUUCUGGCAGGAGCGGCCGGCCACGCGCUCUGCGCGUGAGUUUGCGCUGUCUCUGGCCAUCCUCGGGGAGAUCGCGUUUGGCAUUAAGUUGUCGGGCGUGGGAUGCCCGUCGUUUACUGUGAAAAAAUUAGAGUGUUUAAAGCAGGCUUAUGCCGUUGAAUAUAUUAGCAUGGAAUAAUAAGAUAGGACUUCGGAACUAUUUUGUUGGUUUGCGUUACGAAGUAAUGAUUAAUAGGGACAGUUGGGGGUAUUCGUAUUUCGUUGUCAGAGGUGAAAUUCUUGGAUUUCCGAAAGACGAACUACUGCGAAAGCAUUUACCAAGGAUGUUUUCAUUAAUCAAGAACGAAA
rnacentral:rRNA from 1 species